UCCAUCACUUCCACUGGAAGCUCAUUCCACACAGCUACCAGUCUCUGAGUAAAGAAGUUCCCCCUCAUGUUACCCCUAAACUUCUGUCACUUAAUUCUGAACCAUGUCCUCUUGUAGUCUUCCCUAUACUCAAUGG